rnacentral:lncRNA from 1 species
GGGACUUGGGACAUGAGUUUAAUCCCCAUGAGUAAACUAAUAGAAGAGAUUUGGUCUAAAACGCCCAUUCCCCAUGAGUUUACGGCCGUAAACUCAUGGUGGGUGUGGUUUAUGGUGCUAAAUGACUUCAUACACUUAGGGAAUAAUUUCUAGACUUGGUUUAAGGACUUGGAAUGACUUCAAAGCAUCAAAUAGAACUUCUUAUGGGAGUUUAUGGCCUAGCAUGGCUUCCUGGCCGUAAACUCCUAUUUUUCCAAGAAAAUGAUGUUAAAUGGUUCCAAAACAAAUCACAUGUGAUUAAUAGAAUUAUUCCAAGGCCUAACUUGAGUUUGCAAGGGACAUUUGAGGGUUUUAUGGAGUUUACGGCCCAUGAGACCCCUCUCAUGGCCGUAAACUCUUCUAUAGGGUGCUACAAGGUGUUUCAAGGUCUAAAACUUGCAUAGAAGGGCUUCUAAAAUUCAUCUAAAGGCUUUAGGGGUGUUUAGUUAGCAUUCUAACACCAUGAAUCAUGGAGUUUACGGCCCAAGAACAAGCCUUGGCCGUAAACUCUUAGAAAUCCCACAAAUAAUGUGUUUAAGGCCCUUAAACUAUUUUUGGUUGGUCCUUUGAUUUAUUCCAAGGCUUUUGGUGGUGUUGGAUGGCUUUCUAACACCUUAGAAUUGAAUUUAUGCCAAGUUUUGAGGAGUUUACGGCCCAAGCACAUGCCUUGGCCGUAAACUCACAUAAGUCCCCCAAAAAUCAUGUUUCAAGUGUCCAAAUGCUAAAACCAAUGUUCUAUAAUUCAUAUCUAAGCCAUACUAGUGAUUUGGAAGGGUUUAAGGGCAUGAAAAACCCCAUUUACAUGAGUUUACGGCCCAAGCUUAUGCCUUGGCCGUAAACUCCUUCAAAUGACUCAAAAUCAAAGUUUUAAAUGUUCUAAGUCCAUAUCUUGAAGUCCCUUAGCCAUAUCUAAAGUCCAAAUGAGUUUAGGAAGGAGUUUAAGGGCUUAAAACCCUUCAAAAUGGUGUUUACGGCCUAGGCAGCCUCCUGGGCCGUAAACUCACAUAUGUUGUCCUAUUUCAUGAUUAAAUGUCAAAUUUGGAAGCCAAAUAUGCUAUAGAUUAAGGCUAGGAAGGUACCUUAAGGAUUUGAGGCCUUAAAAUUGAGUUUUGGACCCUUAAUCUUUGGAUUUAGGAGAGAGGUUAGAGAGAGAGUAGAGAGAGAAGGAAAAAGCUUCAAAUGAUAGGUUAAACACGUUUAUAUAGUUCCUAAAACUUGGACACGGUGGAAUUCUACCCGAUACCGGCCUUAAACGAAGCUUUAGGUCGCACCCGAUUGAGUUUCCGUCACCCGACGAGGAUAUUUCUAAAACUUAUGAAAUAAAUGUUUUGGGCUAAAUUCAUGAGUUCCUAAAUGAUUUGGACCCUCAUUGAAUGAUAAUAAACAUAUAAUUUUAGUUAACUAAGCCCAAAAACGAUAUCGGGACAUUUCGAUCUCCGACGAGUUAUACGGGUAGAAUGGGUUUUCGGCGAUGAACAACUUCGGGUUGUUACAUUAUCCCCCCGUUAGAGAGAAUUUCGUCCCGAAAUUCAAAGAAUAAGAUACAGGUCAUGGAUUGGAAUGAAACACGAAUAGAUUUGUUGUCUCGGAUCUUCACUUUCUCAAGUGGAAUUAGGUCUCUACUGGGCAUUCCAGCGAAUUCUCAUUAUCGGGAUAUGUCUUGGUUUUGUACUUUGACUCUCUCUCAAUCUACGAUAUCAAUCUGUUUUCUCAUUGAAGUUCCAACCCUGAACGAAUUCAGUUUCUUCAAGGAAUCACUAGGGUUUCGUUGGGCAGAUACUUCUAAGGAUUCGAGACAUGAUGGUCUAGAUAGAUGUUACUAAGCUCUAAGGGCAUCCGAAAUCUGAAGGUUGCAGAAUUGAUCUCUACGAAGAUCUCGAAAUGUCUGAUGUGAGACUAAACUAGACGCUCGAAAGAAACUCUCAGGAAUCCUUCGGGGCUAACUUCCCGUUCCUCAAUAAUCACAGAAACGAGGGAUGCGUGGUAAUUCACAUGGGGAAAACUUUUGAUUUCUAAGACAUGGAAUGAUACGAAAGUUUGAUGCCGAAGAUCACGAGAACAGGGUCGAGGGAAGAUCUAGACGGGCGACCCUUUCGAAAGUAAAGAUAACAACAUGAAUGAGACUCGGUCAUUUCUUGUUAAACAUAGCACCAAAAUAUUUUUAUGGAAAGUUUCCCCCUUUUUAAAUCGAGUGGAACGGAAUAGUCCUCCGGACUGAGGAUUCAAUCUAUAGGUACGAAGUUAGUGUUCUCUAUCUCACUAGUUAGUCGUCUCGACGGUACACAUUUCGAUUACAAGAGAAGGAUUGAGUUUAGAAAUUGCUCGAAUAGAUAGAUAACAGGUUUCCCUUUUUGUACCAAAUUCGAAAAGAGUUGCAAGUAUAAGAAUUAUCAAAGAGAAAUAUACCUGCAGCAGCAGAGGGAUUUGUGGUUGUAGCUAUCUUGGGACAAUUCCUUUUGAAGUGCCCAGCUUCACCACAAUUGUAGCAGGCUGGACUGAUUCCCGCUCCAGAUGAUUGGUUUGUUGGCUUGGCUGAUUUUCUGCAGGUUCGCGCAAGAUGGCCCUUAUUGCCACAGUUGUCGCAAAUCCUUUCGCGACANGGUAGUUACACUUACCACACCAAGGAAGGGUACCAGUGUAUCCACUGGCGGGAGUUUGGGCUGUGGAACCUACAGCUGAAACAGCAACAGGGGCAGUAGCAGCAUGGACUGCUACCGUUUGCUGUUUCUUAGAAGACCCUUGCGUACUCUGGGCCUUACGCUUGUUCCAGGAUUUCCUUUUACUUCCGCCUCCACUAGUGACUGGCUCGGGGGUAGUAGCUUCUUCAUCAGAGUUGUCUUCGUGAUCUAUCAGGAUUUUCGCAAGACAUUUGGCACUGUCAUAAGUGUCUGGCUUCGCAGCCAAGACAUUCCCUUUUGUUGGCUGGGUCAACCCCCAGAUGAACCUCUCUAUCUUUUUACUUUCCGGGGUAACCAUUCCCGGACAAAGUAACGCCAGAUCAUCAAAUCUUGAGGUAUAAGCAGCUAUGUCAGAACCCUUCAUCUUAAGGUUCCAUAGUUCAUGUUCUAGUUUCUGAAGUUCGCCCCGAGGGCAAUAUUCUGCGAGAAGAAGCUCCUUCAUAGCUUCCCAACCCAUAGCAUUGGCUACAGGUAAAGUUAAGGAUUUGACUCGGCCAUUCCACCAAGUCAGGGCUUUGUCUAGGAAGGUACAGGCGGCAAACUUGACUCUAUCAGACUCCGAACAGCCACAUAUUUCAAAGAUUGAUUCGAUUCUCUCGAACCAUCGGGUUAAGGCAAUGACACCCCCUGUGCCAUCGAAGAAUGUCGGUUUUGCGUUCAUGAAGUCCUUAUAGGAACCCCCUUUUUGGUGUCCCUGGCUAUCUUCUGGGUUUUGGUGUUGGGGAUCACCUCCUGAAUUUCUAGAGUUCAUUUGCGACAUGGCUGCUACCAUUGCAGCAGUCAGAACUGUCUGAAGCGAUGCAAGAUCAAGUUGAAAAGGAGGAUUGUUGUUGUUCGUUGAGCUGGGUCUCUUUCUUGGAGGCAUCUUGAUCUAAAAAGAUCAGGAAAGAGAGGAUCAUAAGUCCUCUGAAUUGAAUCAAGAGAUAUGGGACAGGAGAUAUCUCAUCAAGGCAAAUAUAGCAUCAUACUAAGCGAUAAAGCAGAGAGGAGUUAUCAAGAUAGAACAUUUUAUCGCUAGAGAAAUAAUCAAGGAAUAACGCGUAUACAAGAAUUUCUACAAAGGAUCGGCUCGAGAAAUACUCCCAUAGUAUUUCAUGGUUCGCUGCAGCGACGAUUUGUUGUUUGGGAUAUUGGGUAAGUUUUAGGUAUGCCGCAUGCCACAGUCACUCCCAAGCACAUGUUGGCCGUGUCUCGAAUGAAUAUAGUUGGCCAGGCUAUAUUGACCCUAGACACGACUACAUAACUGCCCAGGUUUAACCGCAGUGUACAACACCCAUUUACUUAUGUUUUGUUCUACUUAUAGUUACGGAUUUCGACGGCUCGGCAUACUUAAAUACUUUUGAAAAUACUUAUAUCUUGUAGGAUACUUUUAGUUCAGAGCACUUAGGCCCCUUAAUGUUUAUAGUUUUAUACCAUGUAAGGUUUGGUAUACUCUGUUCACUAUAAACAAGGGCUCUGAUACCAAUCUGUCACACCCCGAAAACCAAAGGCGGAAACGUUCCCGGGGUUGACUCCACGUUGAGUAUCAAAUCCAAUGUACAUAGUAAUCACAGUAAACAACCAUUACAUUACAUAUAUAUGAAAGUUUACAUUUGGUUCAAAAGUAAAUUGUACAAAAGUUAUACAUAUAUCAUAUGAACAAAAGAGACGAGUCUUCGGAGCACUCCAUCUUCACCAAAAGAUAUCGCCGGGUACCUGUCUAACUUGGACCUGAGAAUACAAGCAGUUUGAAAAUCAGCAUAAAGCUGGUGAGUUCAUAAGCGGUUUUGUUUUGUGAAAAUGUAUCGGUUUCCUUUAGUUUUCUGAAAAGAUUUGAUAUCCAAGAAAAUCCCAUAUUUUCUUAUGUAAAGUAGUUAAGUUAUCUUUCGUUACAGUUCUGUUACAAGAUAUAAGUUAACCCCAGGAAAAUCCCAUAUUUUCCUAAAUGCAAGAUUGAUUGAAUAACACAUAGUAUAGUUUAAUAUACAAAACUAUAAUUUAGACGAACUGUAGAUAGAAAGUAUUUUGAAAACCUUGGGACUAACAUCCCGAACCAGUUAUAAGAUAAUUCGAUAAAGACCAUGGGAUCACUAUCCCGAAAAUAGAUAUAAGAUAGCUUGAUAAACCAUGGGAUCACUAUCCCGAAACUAGAUAUAUGAUAGAUUGAUAAAAUCAUGGGAUUAUCAUCCCGUAUAAGAUUUAGUUUCAAAACCAUGGGAUUACCAUCCCGAACGAAAUAUAGACACAAGAUCAUGGGAUUAUCAUCCCGAACGAGAUAUAGACAUAAAACCAUGGGAUUACCAUCCCGAACGAGAUAUAGAUUACAAAACCAUGGGAUUACCAUCCCGAACAAGAUAUAGAUUCUAAACAAAUCCUAGCUGUGAAUAAGUUUAUAUUAAUACGUAUUGUGAGUCGGGUAACCAUACUGAUACGACAACGAGACCUCCUUGACGUUAGUCAGACGUCGAAUGAUAUACAGAAUUUGUCACCCCAGGCGUGCCCGCCUAACUGUAGCUAGCAGUUAAGGUGUGGGAUUGUCAGUCCCGAAUAGAUCUAUUCACAAAUUCCUCGCUCUCCCUCCAGGAGACUCUGGUUACACUUCCGGAGAGGAUUUACUUGAUCAUCCAUAAAGGGUAGUGACUAUCUCACAAGCUAGUAUUAAACUAUUCACAGGAUUCUCAUACGAUAACAGACAUACAAGGAUUUUAAACAUGAUACAGUGAAAAUGGUUACAUACUAUGAAAUUAUCUGGCAAAACAUUCAAUGAUACGGAGAUAAACUGAAUCAGACAUAGUUUAUCUAAUAACUUAAUACAGAUAUCGGUACAUGAUAUAAAGAGAAACAUAGAACCCCAAAUUAUUCCCAUAAUAAUUUGAUUAGUUUGGUUAUUUUCUUAACUAAAAUCCAUUUAGUUGUAAUUGAUAAAUCAUUCCUUAUGCUCAACAUAAUACAUAAGGAGUAAAAGAGUUUAUAAGUUUGCCAGAUAUUAUUUGAAACACAUAAAUGUUAUGAUUUGAAAACAGUUUUGGUUUGCUUGUAUUCCCCCCCUGAAAACAGUUAAAAACAGUGAAAAAGGCGUAGGGGUAUGAACUCACCGGACGAGAAAUGUGACGAUUUUGAUGUUAAGAGUUGAUCCGGGGUUUGUAAAUACACGAGGUUCCUAAUUAUAAUUUAAAGAUACACAUUUGUAUCUAAUUAGGACUUAGUUUAUUCAUAUGAUAGGGACACUUGCUUUAAGUCGCAAAAACAUUCCGAUACGAGUGUUUGGAGGGACUCUGGUGGCGUUUAAGGACGUGAAAUGACACUAGGGACUUGGGACUUGAGUUUACUCCCCAUGAGUAAACUAAUAGAAGAGUUUUGGUCUAAAACACCCAUUCCCCAUGAGUUUACGGCCGUAAACUCAUGGUGGGUGUGGUUUAAGGUGCUAAAUGACUUCAUACACUUAGGGAAUAAUUUCUAGACUUGGUUUAAGGACUUGAAAGGAUUUUAAAACAUAAAAUAGACCCACUUAUGGGAGUUUACGGCCUAGCAUGGCUCCAUGGCCGUAAACUCCUAUUUUUCCAAGAAAAUGAUGUUAAAUGGAGCUAGAACAAAUCACAUGUGAUUAAUAGAAUUAUUUCAAGGCCUAUUAUGAGUUUGCAAGGGACAUUUGAGGAGUUUAUGGAGUUUACGGCCCAUGAGACCCCCUCAUGGCCGUAAACUCAUCUAUAGGGUGCUACAAGAUGUUUCAAGGUCUAAAACUUGCAUGGAAGGACUUCUAAAAUUCAUCUAAGGGCCUUAGGGGUGUUUAGUUUGCAUUCUAACACCAAAAAUCAAGGAGUUUACGGCCUAUGAACAAGUCUUGGCCGUAAACUCAUAGAAAUCCCUCAAUUAAUGUGUUUAAGGCCCUCAAACUAUUUUUGGUUGGUCCUUUGAUUUAUUCCAAGGCUUUUGGUGGUGUUGGAUGGCUUUCUAACACCUUAGAAUUGAAUUUAUGCCAAGUUUUGAGGAGUUUACGGCCCAAGCACAUGCCUUGGCCGUAAACUCACAUAAGUCCCCCAAAAAUCAUGUUUCAAGUGUCCAAAUGCUAAAACCAAGGUUCUAUAAUUCAUAUCUAAGCCAUACUAGUGAUUUGGAAGGGUUUAAGGGCAUGAAAAACCCCAUUUACAUGAGUUUACGGCCCAAGCUUAUGCCUUGGCCGUAAACUCCUUCAAAUGACUCAAAAUC